UACAGAGACUGCAAGCGUUAUUCGGAUUCACUGGGCGUAAAGGGUGCGCAGGCGGCCGUGUGUGUGAGGCGUGAAAGCCUGGAGCUUAACUCCAGAAUUGCACCUCAAACUACAUGGCUAGAGCAUUGGAGAGGGUAGCGGAAUUCACGGUGUAGCAGUGAAAUGCGUAGAUAUCGUGAGGAACACCAGAGGCGAAGGCGGCUACCUGGACAAUUGCUGACGCUCAGGCACGAAAGCAUGGGGAGCAAAAGGG
rnacentral:rRNA from 1 species